rnacentral:misc_RNA from 1 species
GGUUUGCAAAUCCAGUUGCACAUGCUUUUCCCAUCUGGGUUUUCUUGGCGGAAAUAAAAAAUCACCUUUCUUGGUUCUCUUUCUAUUCAAUUUUUAUAUAUUCACAUACCUUUAGUACUAGGUAUAGAAUGAGACCUAUAAUUGCUAGCCUGUCUUAUGCACCUGAUACUAUGGUAACCCCUUGUAAUAAGCAAAACUGCUAGUCUACUCGUUAGUGACCAACUUUCCUCUCUUCUUGAUCAAUAGACAAUGGCUACGCUUCAUUCGCUUAGUUCUUUCCACUGCCAAUAUAAGAACUGCGAUGGGAUUCUUGAUUUUAGAUCCAAAAAGUUUCUUAUCAGAAGAUAUGUAGUGAGAUGCGAAGGAAGUUAUCAUGAUCAAGAUUCUUGUAAAGAAAGAGAUGGAAAGAAGAGGCUUAGGAUCUUGAUAGCUGGUGGGGGUAUAGGGGGUUUGGUUUUAGCUUUGGCAGCAAAACACAGAGGAUUUGAUGUGAAGGUGUUUGAGAAAGAUUUGAGUGCAGUGAGAGGGGAAGGUAGGCACAGGGGUCCAAUUCAAUUGUUGAGUAGUGCUUUGGCAGUUUUGCAAGCUAUUGACGAGAAUGUUGCCAGGCAAAUCAUGGAAGCUGGUUGUGUUACUGGUGACAGGAUCAAUGGACUAGCUGAUGGGGUCUCAGGUGAUUGGUUUACUAAGUUUGAUCUUUCAACUCCUGCUUUGAAAAAAGGGCUUCCUGUCACUAGAGUAAUAUGUAGAAUGGCACUACAGGACAUAUUACUUAAAGCGGUGGGUUUAGACAUAGUAAGAAAUAAAUCUAAAGUUGUUGAUUUCAUGGAAGAUUCUACCAAGGUCACAGUGAUCCUUGAGGAUGGUAGGCAAUAUGAUGGUGAUGUUUUAGUUGGGGCAGAUGGAAUAUGGUCAAAAGUACGAUCUAAGUUAUUUGGGAAAGAAGACGCGAAAUAUUCAGAUUACACAUGCUAUAGUGGGCUGACAAGCUUUGUUCCACCAUAUAUUGAUACAAUUGGGUAUGUGAAACUGUGUCAUUUUGCCAUAGCUUUCUGGUUAAUGACACAUCAAUAGAUAAAGUUGGACGGUAUGUAUGAAUAUCGGGAUUGUUUUCGUUGAUGUAUGGUAUGAAGGUAUCGCGUGUUCUUAGGAUUGAACCAGUACUUUGUUGCUUCAGAUGUUGGACAUGGGAAGAUGCAAUGGUAUGCUUUCCAUAAGCAGCCCCCUAGUUAUCCUGAUCCACCAAAAGGUAAUUUUCUCUUCUGCAGAUCCCAUGAUUUCAACUGGAAAUUUAAUGUCUUCAAAUGCUUCAGGUAAGAAGACACAGCUGCUAGAAUUGUUUAGAGACUGGUGCAAUGCAGUGACUGAACUAAUAUCAGAAACUCCGGAAGAUGUGAUUUUACGGAGGGAUAUCUAUGAUAGAAAUAUGAUCCACACCUGGGGGAUAGGACGUGUGACUCUGCUGGGUGAUGCUGCUCAUCCAAUGCAGCCGAAUCUUGGACAAGGCGGUUGCAUGGCAAUUGAGGAUUGUUACCAACUUGUACUUGAGCUUGAAAAUUUUGUCAACAGUGGGUUAGACCUUCAACAGUCUGAUGAGAUCUUCUCAGCACUUAGAAGAUAUGAGAAGAAAAGAAUGUUUCGUGUUAGUACAGUGCAUGCAGCCAGCAGAAUGGCAUCAAAAGUGCUUACUGCUUACCAACCUUACAUAGAGUUUGGAUUUGGAUCUGCUCCUCUAUCUAGUCUAUCAACCAUAAGGAUAACAAAACCAUCGGUUCACUUGGCACGUCUGCUUUUGCAACUUUUCUUGCCACAGUUCAUGACCUGGAUGAUUGCUGGUAAUGGGUUAGGGUGAGAGGGGAAGAGAAGCAAUUGAAAAGUUAAUACAAUCUCUAGAGUUUCACAUGUGGUCAUGUAUAUUAGUUAAAACUAGAUUACUAUAUAAUAUAACAUGCUUUGAUGGAAUCUGAUUGCAGUUAGGUUUCUAUUUUGAAAAUAAGGAACUAUUCACUUUCCAAGUUCCAACUAAAUUCCAGUUACAGGGACACAGGAGAAGCUACUAUGCUGCAGCAGCAGCAGCCACAUGAAAAUUGUGAAUUUUCUAAACUAGGAACCCGAAGUUCUAUUGUUGUCAAAUGAGAUCUCAAUCUGAGAUGUAAACCUUCAACUUUUCACUUGCUAAUUAGCUUAAUUUGGUAAAAUCCCAGGGUUCAAAAUCUGUUGAUA